rnacentral:lncRNA from 1 species
CGCCACUUGUCUGCUGUGUGACUUUGGGCAAAUUACUCAACUUCUCUGUGCCUCAGUGACCUCGUCUGUUAAAUAGAGAUGAAGACCGUGAGCCCCAAGGGGGACAACCUGAUAACCUAGUGAUCCCCCCCAGCGUUUAACAAAUACCAUCGUUAUCAUCACUCUUAAUAUUAUCGAUGGAUGGAUCAAUUGAUUGAUCUUCCCUGCAUUUCCCUGGAAGAGAAGCUCUCACGUUUCCAAGCACAGCUAUAAAAGAACCCUUAAAGAGCCUUCGGCCGUUAGCACAAUACGCUGCAUCCUGUCAGUGCCAGUAAAUUCAGUCGCUACAGCUAUCAGAGGCCAAUUUUAUCUUUCAGACUCUAUAUAUGUCUUAGGAAUUUAAGAGCUAAACAGAUUUGAGGGCGGAGGUGGCUAAAUAAAUCGCUUUAUGCAUUUUAUUUUAUUUUCUCCAGAAACUCUCAUCCCCGGAGAGACGGUUGAGGCGGGACGGCGGAUCGGAACGGAAACUGCUUGUUUGCAAACACCUAAUUUUAGGUAGAACCCUUGGCUUCAUCAGUGAACAGAGAUUUAAGGACAGUCCAACCCAGCUGAUGCCGACGGUCACCCCUUAAACCUCGUCGGUGGAAUCAUUCCGCACGGCCAACAGAGGGACUCUGUCUUCUCUCCGUCAAGCUAACUUGGAAAUUGAACGAUCCGUUAUAAGGAUUACACUCGCUGACGAUGCGCUCCAGAAGAAGUAGAGAAAUUCAUCUGUGGGUUUGAGCUGAUCUCGUAGACUGGAGUAAAAAAAAAAA